UUCUUUUGCUCUGCAAAACAUAGAAAUGGCGCUCACGGGAAGAAAGGAAUAACAAUGAGCAGCACGGAUUAAAGAGUGAAUUAAAUUUAUUAAGUUAAUAUUUAAAAAAAAGAAACGAAAAGUAAGUAAGUAAAUAGAGAUAUGCGAACGCUUUGCGACGUAUGCGAGAGCGCCGCUGCGAUCCUCUUCUGCGCCGCCGACGAGGCCGCUCUUUGCCGCUCCUGUGAUGAGAAGGUCCAUUUAUGUAACAAGCUUGCUAGUCGACAUGUUCGUGUUGGGCUUGCUGAUCCUAGUGAUGUGCCCCGUUGUGACAUAUG
rnacentral:misc_RNA from 1 species